rnacentral:rRNA from 1 species
CUACGGGACGCUCCAGUGAGGAAUAUUGCACAAUGGGGGGAACCCUGAUGCAGCAACGCCGCGUGGAGGAUGACGCAUUUCGGUGUGUAAACUCCUUUUAUAUGUCAAGAAAAAGACGGUAGCAUAUGAAUAAGCACCGGCUAACUCCGUGCCAGCAGCCGCGGUAAUACGGAGGGGGCAAGCGUUACUCGGAAUCACUGGGCGUAAAGGACGCGUAGGCGGGUUGGAAAGUCAGGUGUGAAAUCCUACAGCUUAACUGUAGAACUGCACUUGAAACUUCUAAUCCAGAGUAUGGGAGGGGGAGAUGGAAUUAGUGGUGUAGGGGUAAAAUCCGUAGAUAUCACUAGGAAUACCUAAAGCGAAGGCGAUCUCCUGGAACAUUACUGACGCUAAGGCGUGAAAGCGUGGGGAGCAAACAGGAUUAGAUACCCGAGUAGUC